rnacentral:siRNA from 1 species
CCGAUGAACCGAAGAGAAUGGUA